rnacentral:rRNA from 1 species
UACGGGAGGCAGCAGUAGGGAAUCUUCCGCAAUGGACGAAAGUCUGACGGAGCAACGCCGCGUGAGUGAUGAAGGUUUUCGGAUCGUAAAGCUCUGUUGUUAGGGAAGAACAAGUGCGAGAGUAACUGCUCGCACCUUGACGGUACCUAACCAGAAAGCCACGGCUAACUACGUGCCAGCAGCCGCGGUAAUACGUAGGUGGCAAGCGUUGUCCGGAAUUAUUGGGCGUAAAGGGCUCGCAGGCGGUUUCUUAAGUCUGAUGUGAAAGCCCCCGGCUCAACCGGGGAGGGUCAUUGGAAACUGGGAAACUUGAGUGCAGAAGAGGAGAGUGGAAUUCCACGUGUAGCGGUGAAAUGCGUAGAGAUGUGGAGGAACACCAGUGGCGAAGGCGACUCUCUGGUCUGUAACUGACGCUGAGGAGCGAAAGCGUGGGGAGCGAACAGGAUUAGAUAGCCCUGGUAGUCCACGCCGUAAACGAUGAGUGCUAAGUGUUAGGGGGUUUCCGCCCCUUAGUGCUGCAGCUAACGCAUUAAGCACUCCGCCUGGGAGUACGGUCGCAAGACUGAAACUCAAAGGAAUUGACGGGGGCCCGCACAAGCGGUGGAGCAUGUGGUUUAAUUCGAAGCAACGCGAAGAACCUUACCAGGUCUUGACAUCCUCUGACAACCCUAGAGAUAGGGCUUUCCCUUCGGGGACAGAGUGACAGGUGGUGCAUGGUUGUCGUCAGCUCGUGUCGUGAGAUGUUGGGUUAAGUCCCGCAACGAGCGCAACCCUUGAUCUUAGUUGCCAGCAUUUAGUUGGGCACUCUAAGGUGACUGCCGGUGACAAACCGGAGGAAGGUGGGGAUGACGUCAAAUCAUCAUGCCCCUUAUGACCUGGGCUACACACGUGCUACAAUGGACAGAACAAAGGGCUGCGAGACCGCAAGGUUUAGCCAAUCCCAUAAAUCUGUUCUCAGUUCGGAUCGCAGUCUGCAACUCGACUGCGUGAAGCUGGAAUCGCUAGUAAUCGCGGAUCAGCAUGCCGCGGUGAAUACGUUCCCGGGCCUUGUACACACCGCCCGUCACACCACGAGAGU